UGAGCAAUCUGCCCUUCUCAUCGGAAUAAGCGUUGGAAACGACGUCUAAUGCCGAAUACGACCUCCUUUCGCAUGAUCGGAGGUGGAAAGCUCCGGCGGAGAAGGAUGAGCUCGCGGCCUAUCAGCUAGUUGGUGUGGGUAAUGGCCCACCAAGGCGACGACGGGUAGCCGGCCUGAGGAGGGUGACCGGCCACACUGGGACUGAGACACGGCCCAGACCUCCGUACGGGAGCAG
rnacentral:rRNA from 1 species